rfam:Paenibacillus sp. HGF7 contig00055, whole genome shotgun sequence.
AGAAAAAGAUUGCCGAAUUUCUUCUUAGACGAAAGGAAGAGAACGGGGGAUCCACUCUGGGUGAAUUGAUCUUGCAACAAAGGGAUCAUAGGGGACCUUCUACCGAACCCUCCAGCUAACCUCGUAGGCACAGGAAGGAGCAACA